ensembl:lncRNA
GGGAGGUACUGGUACAGAGUCAAUGUGGAGGCUAUAUACAGGGAGGUACUGGUACAGAGUCAAUGUGGAGGCUAUAUACAGGGAGGUACUGGUACAGAGUCAAUGUGGAGGCUAUAUGCAGGGAGGUACUGGUACAGAGUCAAUGUGGAGGCUAUAUGCAGGGAGGUACUGGUACAGAGUCAAUGUGAAGGCUAUAUACAGGGAGGUACCGGUACAGAGUCAAUGUGGAGGCUAUAUACAGGGAGGUACCGGUACAGAGUCAAUGUGGAGGCUAUAUACAGGGAGGUACCGGUACAGAGUCAAUGUGGAGGCUAUAUACAGGGAGGUACUGGUACAGAGUCAAUGUGGAGGCUAUAUACAGGGAGGUACUGGUACAGAGUCAAUGUGGAGGCUAUAUACAGGGAGGUACCGGUACAGAGUCAAUGUGGAGGCUAUAUACAGGGAGGUACCGGUACAGAGUCAAUGUGGAGGCUAUAUACAGGGAGGUACUGGUACAGAGUCAAUGUGGAGGCUAUAUGCAGGGAGGUACUGGUACAGAGUCAAUGUGGAGGCUAUAUACAGGGAGGUACCGGUACAGAGUCAAUGUGGAGGCUAUAUACAGGGAGGUACCGGUACAGAGUCAGUGUGGAGGCUAUAUACAGG